rnacentral:lncRNA from 1 species
AUCUAAGUCAAGGCCUCGAAGGUCGGACGAAAUGGUUGCUGCCGUGAAAAAGUCUGUCGAGGACAAGAGAGGCAAGGUCACCGUCAGCGGCCUCUCCAGGGAGUUCAACGUCAGCAGAAGGACCAUGGACCGGCUAGUUAAGAAAGAUCUUGGCCUUAAGGUAUACAAGAGAAUCCCUCGUCAAGCCAUCAAGCCAGUAGACAAGGAAAAAAGCCUUGCAAGGUCGAAGAUUCUUCAAAACAAGCUUAAGAAAAAGCCAGCCGAUGUCGACGUUUUAUUCAGUGAUGAGACGCCCUUCAGCCUAGGCGAGAUGGUGGCCAACGACACCGGAUUUUAUCUGGCGGAGUCUCUCGGUGCCGGGGAUGAUGACGUGGUGCAUGUGGGUAAGGAACGGCACUUCGCCAAGAAGUCAUAAAUGUGAUCUCACCUCCUUGGAGGACCACGAGAGGCUUAACUCCGAGACGUACUGCCAAUACUUAAAGGACAAAGUGUUCCCUUGGGCAAGGGCUACUUACAGGAACAGGUGGUGGUGGCAGCAGGACGGUGCCAGCUGCCACACUAGCAACUUUACCCAAGAGUUCCUUCAGAUCGAGACUCCAGCCUCUUUGAUCGGAAUUCUUGGCCGCCUCAAUCGCCUGAUUGUUCGCCGCUUGACUUCGCAGUGUUUGUGUGUUUAAAGGGGGUGCUGUCGGGAGUCCAAUACAAGUCCAAGGACCAGCUGAAGUCUGCCCUCAAGAAUGCCUUAGCCAACCUCGACCAGAGCUUCAUCGCCAAGUCAUGCAGCAAGUUCCGGUCCAGGCUGGAGUUGCUAGUGGAGAACAUGGGCGGCCAUAUUGAAUAGACAUGUGUCUAAGACUCUCAUCUUUCAUGUUAAAUUAAUUAAUUCGUCGACUACUUAAAAAAUUACAGAAUUAUUUAACUAUUUUUAAAAAUUUCAGUGUUCAGUUUUAGACGCGCACACAUGUAUAUAUUUAUGAUUUAUUAUGUUUCCAUCCUGUGUUUUAAAGAUCUUAGGGAUAUUUUUAAUUAUAUCAGCAAUGGAAUGAAUUUACUUGAAAUCAGUCGAGGGGGAACUGAGAGGGGGGAUAGCUGUCAAUAAGUUUUCAAACAAUAACCCUUCAAAUGAUUGUAUUGAAAUCACCAGGGUGGAAAAUUGGGCAAAAAUAAAUAUUAUCCUUAAUAGAGAUGUCACACGUGGCCCAAUCUUAAAAUACUUCCCUCGUCCGUUACACAUAUUUCAAUGGUUAUAUCACAUUGAAAAAGGUUAAAGGACAAUUAGCCCCAAACAUUUUUUGAAAGAAAAUUUACUAAACGGACAUUUCGCCGAAGGACUAUUUGGGACAGUUGGCCAAAAAAUGAUAUUAAAUUUAUUGAUGUAUACGAUUGCAUAUUUUAAUUCCAUGUAAAAGUAUCGUAUGAUAGGUAUGAUUCCUAUGCUAUAUAUGUAAAUUACUGAGUGUUAUUGAAGAAAAAUAUUUAAUAAACAUUAUAUAAGCACAA